GCAAGUCGUACGAGAGUUUUUAACUCUAGUGGCGGACGGGUGAGUAACACGUGAGAAUUUACCUUUAGGAGGGGGAUAACAAUUGGAAACGACUGCUAAUACCCCAUAUGCUUUUGAGUGAAAUGGAUUUAUAUUUAUCCGCCUAGAGAGAAGCUCGCGGCUGAUUAGCUUGUUGGUAAGGUAAGAGCUUACCAAGGCGACGAUCAGUAUCUGGUUUGAGAGGACGAUCAGACACACUGGAACUGAGACACGGUCCAGACUCCUACGGGAGGCAGCAGUGGGGAAUUUUCCGCAAUGGGCGAAAGCCUGACGGAGCAAUACCGCGUGAGGGAAGACUGCCUAUGGGUUGUAAACCUCUUUUUUCAGGGAGGAAUAAAAUGACGUGUACCUGAAGAAUAAGCAUCGGCUAACUCCGUGCCAGCAGCCGCGGUAAGACGGAGGAUGCAAGUGUUAUCCGGAAUCACUGGGCGUAAAGCGUCUGUAGGUGGUUUGAUAAGUCAACUGUUAAAUCUUGAGGCUCAACUUCAAAAUCGCAGUCGAAACUAUUAGACUAGAGUAUAGUAGAGGUAAAGGGAAUUUCCAGUGGAGCGGUGAAAUGCGUAGAUAUUGGAAAGAACACCGAUGGCGAAAGCACUUUACUGGGCUAUUACUAACACUCAGAGACGAAAGCUAGGGUAGCAAAUGGGAUUAGAUACCCCAGUAGUCCUAGCCGUAAACUAUGGAUACUAGAUGUUGAACAGAUCGACCUGUGCAGUAUCAAAGCUAACGCGUUAA
rnacentral:rRNA from 1 species